rnacentral:rRNA from 1 species
AGGUUACCGCUAUCGGUGUUCGCCUAAGCCAUGCGAGUCAUAUGUUCGUAAGAACAUGGCGUACUGCUCAGUAACACGUGGAUAACCUGCCCUUGGGUCCGGCAUAACCCCGGGAAACUGGGGAUAAUUCCGGAUAACGCACAUAUGCUGGAAUGCUUUAUGCGUAAAAUGGAUUCGUCUGCCCAAGGAUGGGUCUGCGGCCUAUCAGGUAGUAGUGGGUGUAAUGUACCUACUAGCCUACGACGGGUACGGGUUGUGAGAGCAAGAGCCCGGAGAUGGAUUCUGAGACAUGAAUCCAGGCCCUACGGGGCGCAGCAGGCGCGAAAACUUUACAAUGCGGGAAACCGUGAUAAGGGGACACCGAGUGCCAGCAUCCUAUGCUGGCUGUCCGGGUGUGUAAAAUACACCUGUUAGCAAGGGCCGGGCAAGACCGGUGCCAGCCGCCGCGGUAACACCGGCGGCCCGAGUGGUGAUCGUGAUUAUUGGGUCUAAAGGGUCCGUAGCCGGUUUGGUCAGUCCUCCGGGAAAUCUGACAGCUUAACUGUUAGGCUUUCGGAGGAUACUGCCAGACUUGGAACCGGGAGAGGUAAGAGGUACUACAGGGGUAGGAGUGAAAUCUUGUAAUCCCUGUGGGACCACCUGUGGCGAAGGCGUCUUACCAGAACGGGUUCGACGGUGAGGGACGAAGGCUGGGGGCACGAACCGGAUUAGAUACCCGGGUAGUCCCAGCCGUAAACGAUGCUCGCUAGGUGUCAGGCAUGGCGCGACCGUGUCUGGUGCCGCAGGGAAGCCGUGAAGCGAGCCACCUGGGAAGUACGGCCGCAAGGCUGAAACUUAA